CCACUGGUUCGGGGAGACACAUUGUGACACCGCAUAACAUAACUAUUAUUUGUUGUUGUUUGGAGAGUGAACAUGGUUUGUAUGUGUGGCCAGGGGUGUGCCUCUUCGGCUUGAUGAGAAACGCUGGCUGCUGUCUCUGCCAUUUUUCUUCUGCUUCCGGGCUCUUUUCCACCUGGACUGCUCUUGCUGCGGGAAUUGUGUGUGCGGGCGCGCGCGGCGGCUUGGCUCUGUUUGAAACGGAGUUAAACCAUAGCUCCUCCCACUAUGGCUCUGGCUGCUACAUGUGAUCGGUGAGAUGCGGUCAUGUGACAGAGCCUCUGCUGGAAGUCUCGACAAAACAUAAACAGACCACGCAUCGCACGGAUCAAUAAAAAUAAAGUAGCGAGUAAUGAGCAGAAUAUAGCCCAAUGUAACGGAGUAAAAGUACCGCUCCUUCUUCACAAAUAUACUCAAGUAAAAGUAAGCUGCAUUAAAACUACUCUUACAAGUACAAUUCAUCCAAAAAGUUAUUCAAGUAAAUGUAACGGAGUAAAUGUAGCGUGUUACUACCCACCUCUGAUUAGAAAUUACAAAAUAAACGUAUUUUCUAAUUUGACCUCAUGCAUGGACUGAAUGUGCAUUGCUUUUAUUUUGAAGUUGUGUUCAACAAAAACGCAAUGCGCGCGACAUGAACAUGACAUGAAAUCCCACGAAACCUAAUCCCGCGAUAACUACUUCCGUAAUUUGUCCAGACCAACCACAAACUUGUACGUCAUCCUUCAAACGGUCCAGCCAAUCACAUAGUGUGACGUCACCAGCAGGCGCCGGAGCCCGAGCCGAUCUGUAGAUCUGAUUCCUACUUUUUGAUCUGAUUCCUACACCGAAUUGACUGAUGAUCAUCUGUCAGCUGUGCUUCGCAUCUCCACCUCAGACAUUCAACCUGACUCUGAUGCACUCGUUAAAGACCAACAGAGACUAGAUUUCUCUCACUGAACAAAUAAAAAACUGAAAAACACCAAAUGAGGAGCGAAGAAGACCUGCGUUGGGCUGCAUGUAGGAAGCCUGGGAUUAUUUACAAGUUUCUGAUGUGCUUCAGACAUUGCCACUCAUGCUGCUGCAAUAGAGGUGCUCAGGACUUGCAGCUGCCAGGGACUUUCUGCACAUGGACCGAGUUUUUCUUCUUCCUCCUGCUCGCUGUGUAUGGAAGGUUUGAAUGGACUGUUACUACCAUCUUUCUGAGUUUCCAAGGGACUGAGAGUACUAACUCUUCUCCAGCUGAGGGUUACAUAUGAGCUCCAACAGUGCGCCAACGAACAUGGUACCAUAGACUGAGUUAGAAAAUCCCGGAUAUUAUUUUCAUUUGUUUAUUUUAUUUGUUUGGGGGGGUUUGAAAUAAAUACUGUGAUAUUUUUGCAAUCAA